UCAGAACGAACGCUGGCGGCAGGCCUAACACAUGCAAGUCGAACGGAUCCUUCGGGAUUAGUGGCAGACGGGUGAGUAACGCGUGGGAAGCUACCUUGUGGUAGGGAACAACAGUUGGAAACGACUGCUAAUACCCUAUGAGCCCUAUGGGGGAAAGAUUUAUCGCCAUGAGAUGUGCCCGCGUUAGAUUAGCUAGUUGGUAAGGUAAUGGCUUACCAAGGCGACGAUCUAUAGCUGGUCUGAGAGGAUGAUCAGCCACACUGGGACUGAGACACGGCCCAGACUCCUACGGGAGGCAGCAGUGGGGAAUAUUGGACAAUGGGGGCAACCCUGAUCCAGCCAUGCCGCGUGAGUGAUGACGGCCUUAGGGUUGUAAAGCUCUUUCAGCAGUGAAGAUAAUGACAUUAACUGCAGAAGAAGCCCCGGCUAACUUCGUGCCAGCAGCCGCGGUAAUACGAAGGGGGCUAGCGUUGUUCGGAAUCACUGGGCGUAAAGCGUACGUAGGCGGACUGAUCAGUCAGGGGUGAAAUCCCGGGGCUCAACCCCGGAACUGCCUUUGAUACUGUCAGUCUUGAGAUCGAGAGAGGUGAGUGGAACUCCGAGUGUAGAGGUGAAAUUCGUAGAUAUUCGGAAGAACACCAGUGGCGAAGGCGGCUCACUGGCUCGAUACU
rnacentral:rRNA from 1 species